rnacentral:rRNA from 1 species
UACGGAGGGUGCGAGCGUUAUCCGGAUUCACUGGGUUUAAAGGGUGCGUAGGUGGGCAGGUAAGUCAGUGGUGAAAUCUCCGGGCUUAACCCGGAAACUGCCAUUGAUACUAUCAGUCUUGAAUACCGUGGAGGUAAGCGGAAUAUGUCAUGUAGCGGUGAAAUGCUUAGAUAUGACAUAGAACACCAAUUGCGAAGGCAGCUUACUACACAACGAUUGACGCUGAGGCACGAAAGCGUGGGGAUCAAACAGG